rnacentral:rRNA from 1 species
CGGGAGGCCUAACACAUGCAAGCCGAGCGGUAGAGAUUCUUCGGAAUCUUGAGAGCGGCGUACGGGUGCGGAACACGUGUGCAACCUGCCUUUAUCAAGGGGAUAGCCUUUCGAAAGGAAGAUUAAUACCCUAUAAUAUAUUGACUGGCAUCAGUUAAUAUUGAAAACUACGGUGGAUAAAGAUGGGCACGCGCAAGAUUAGCUAGUUGGUGAGGUAACGGCUCACCAAGGCGACGAUCUUUAGGGGGCCUGAGAGGGUGAUCCCCCACACUGGUACUGAGACACGGACCAGACUCCUACGGGAGGCAGCAGUGAGGAAUAUUGGACAAUGGGUGAAAGCCUGAUCCAGCCAUCCCGCGUGUAGGAAGACGGCCCUAUGGGUUGUAAACUACUUUUAUCUGGGGAUAAACCUACUUACGUGUAAGUAGCUGAAGGUACCAGAUGAAUAAGCACCGGCUAACUCCGUGCCAGCAGCCGCGGUAAUACGGAGGGUGCAAGCGUUAUCCGGAUUUAUUGGGUUUAAAGGGUCCGUAGGCGGACUGAUAAGUCAGUGGUGAAAUCCGACAGCUUAACUGUCGAACUGCCAUUGAUACUGUUAGUCUUGAGUAAGGUUGAAGUGGCUGGAAUAAGUAGUGUAGCGGUGAAAUGCAUAGAUAUUACUUAGAACACCAAUUGCGAAGGCAGGUCACUAAGUCUUAACUGACGCUGAUGGACGAAAGCGUGGGGAGCGAACA